UGCAUCGCCCAGGAAUCGAACCCGGGCCGCCCGCGUGGCAGGCGAGCAUUCUACCACUGAACCACCGAUGG
rnacentral:tRNA from 1 species